GUGCUCACUUUGGCAGUACAUAUACUAAAUUUGGAAUGAUACAAAGAUUAGCAUGGCUCCUAAACAAGUAUGCCAUACAAAUUCCUGAAGUGUUCCAUAUUUUG